rnacentral:rRNA from 1 species
CCUCAAAUCAGGUAGGACUACCCGCUGAACUUAAGCAUAUCAAUAAGCGGAGGAAAAGAAACUAACAAGAAUUCCCUUAGUAGCGGCGAGCGAAGCGGGAAGAGCUCAAAUUUGAAAGCUGGCGUCCUUCGGGCGUCCGCAUUGUAAUCUAUAGAGGCGUUUUCUGUGCUGGACCGUGUCCAAGUCCCUUGGAACAGGGUAUCAAAGAGGGUGACAAUCCCGUACUUGACACGACAACCAGUGCUCUGUGAUACGUCUUCUACAAGUCGAGUUGUUUGGGAAUGCAGCUCAAAAUGGGUGGUGAAUUCCAUCUAAAGCUAAAUAUUGGCGAGAGACCGAUAGCGAACAAGUACCGUGAGGGAAAGAUGAAAAGCACUUUGGAAAGAGAGUUAAACAGUAUGUGAAAUUGUUGAAAGGGAAACGAUGGAGGUCAGUCGUGUCUGUGGGAUUCAGCCGUCUCUGGCGGUGUACUUCCCACAGACGGGUCAACAUCAGUUUUGGCUGGCGGAUAAAGGCAGGAGGAAGGUGGCACCCCCGGGUGUGUUAUAGCCUCUUGUUGCAUACGCUGGCCGAGACUGAGGAAUGCAGCUCGCCUUUAUGGCCGGGGUUCGCCCACGUUCGAGCUUAGGAUGUUGACAUAAU